rnacentral:rRNA from 1 species
CCUACGGGAGGCUGCAGUGAGGAAUAUUGGUCAAUGGCCGGAAGGCUGAACCAGCCAUGCCGCGUGAAGGUCAGUGCCCUAUGGGCGUUAAACUUCUUUUGUGCGGGAGCAAUAAUGGUCACGUGUGGCCAGACGAGAGUACCGUACGAAUAAGCAUCGGCUAACUCCGUGCCAGCAGCCGCGGUAAUACGGGGGAUACAAGCGUUAUCCGGAUUUAUUGGGUUUAAAGGGUGCGUAGGCUGUGAGGUAAGUCAGCGGUGAAAUGCCCCCGCUCAACGGGGUGAAGUGCCAUUGAUACUGCCUGGCUGGAAUGCGGAUGCCGUGGGAGGAAUGUGUGGUGUAGCGGUGAAAUGCAUAGAUAUCACACAGAACACCGAUUGCGAAGGCAUCUCACGAAUCCGCGAUUGACGCUGAUGCACGAAAGCGUGGGUAUCAAACAGGAUUAGAUACCCUAGUAGUC